AGGGAAACCGAGUCUUAACUGGGCGUUAAGUUGCAGGGUAUAGACCCGAAACCCGGUGAUCUAGCCAUGGGCAGGUUGAAGGUUGGGUAACACUAACUGGAGGACCGAACCGACUAAUGUUGAAAAAUUAGCGGAUGACUUGUGGCUGGGGGUGAAAGGCCAAUCAAACCGGGAGAUAGCUGGUUCUCCCCGAAAGCUAUUUAGGUAGCGCCUCGUGAAUUCAUCUUCGGGGGUAGAGCACUGUUUCGGCCAGGGGGUCAUCCCGACUUACCAACCCGAUGCAAACUGCGAAUACCGAAGAAUGUUAUCACGGGAGACACACGGCGGGUGCUAACGUCCGUCGUGAAGAGGGAAACAACCCAGACCGCCAGCUAAGGUCCCAAAGUCAUGGUUAAGUGGGAAACGAUGUGGGAAGGCACAGACAGCCAGGAUGUUGGCUUAGAAGCAGCCAUCAUUUAAAGAAAGCGUAAUAGCUCACUGGUCGAGUCGGCCUGCGCGGAAGAUGUAACGGGGCUAAACCAUGCACCGAAGCUGCGGCAGCGACACUCUGUGUUGUUGGGUAGGGGAGCGUUCUGUAAGCCGUUGAAGGUGUGCUGUGAGGCAUGCUGGAGGUAUCAGAAGUGCGAAUGCUGACAUAAGUAACGAUAAUGCGGGUGAAAAACCCGCACGCCGGAAGACCAAGGGUUCCUGUCCAACGUUAAUCGGGGCAGGGUGAGUCGACCCCUAAGGCGAGGCCGAAAGGCGUAGUCGAUGGGAAACAGGUUAAUAUUCCUGUACUUGGUGUUACUGCGAAGGGGGGACGGAGAAGGCUAUGUUAGCCGGGCGACGGUUGUCCCGGUUUAAGCAUGUAGGCGGAGCGUUUAGGUAAAUCCGGACGCUUAUUAACGCUGAGGUGUGAUGACGAGGCACUACGGUGCUGAAGUAACAAAUGCCCUGCUUCCAGGAAAAGCCUCUAAGCAUCAGGUAACAUCAAAUCGUACCCCAAACCGACACAGGUGGUCAGGUAGAGAAUACCAAGGCGCUUGAGAGAACUCGGGUGAAGGAACUAGGCAAAAUGGUGCCGUAACUUCGGGAGAAGGCACGCUGACACGUAGGUGAAGUGAUUUACUCA
rnacentral:rRNA from 1 species